CAGUCGCCGCGGGAAUACGGAGGGUGCAAGCGUUAAUCGGAAUUACUGGGCGUAAAGCGCACGCAGGCGGUCUGACAAGUCAGAUGUGAAAUCCCCGGGCUUAACCUGGGAACUGCAUUUGAAACUGGCAGGCUAGAGUCUUGUAGAGGGGGGUAGAAUUCCAGGUGUAGCGGUGAAAUGCGUAGAGAUCUGGAGGAAUACCGGUGGCGAAGGCGGCCCCCUGGACAAAGACUGACGCUCAGGUGCGAAAGCGUGGGGAGCAAACAGGAUUAGAUACCCGGGUAGUCCCUGUCUCUUAUAC
rnacentral:rRNA from 1 species